rnacentral:rRNA from 1 species
UACGUAGGGGGCAAGCGUUGUCCGGAUUUAUUGGGCGUAAAGAGCUCGUAGGCGGCUUGUCACGUCGGGUGUGAAAGCCCGGGGCUUAACCCCGGGUCUGCAUUCGAUACGGGCAGGCUAGAGUGUGGUAGGGGAGAUCGGAAUUCCUGGUGUAGCGGUGAAAUGCGCAGAUAUCAGGAGGAACACCGGUGGCGAAGGCGGAUCUCUGGGCCAUUACUGACACUGAGAAGCGAAAGCAUGGGGAGCGAACAGG